AUUGAACGCUGGCGGCAGGCCUAACACAUGCAAGUCGAACGAGUGGCGGACGGGGGGGUAAUGUCUGGGAAACUGCCUGAUGGAGGGGGAUAACUACUGGAAACGGUAGCUAAUACCGAGUACCAUCGAAUGUGCCCCGAUGGGAUUAGCUGGUUGGUGGGGUAACGGCUCACCAAGGCGACGAUCCCUACAUGGUCUGAGGGGAUGACCGGCCACCCUGGAACUGAGACACGGGCCAUACGCCUCCGUGAGUCAGCAGUGGGGAAUAUUGCACAAUGGGCGCAAGACUGAUGCAGCCAUGCCGCGUGUAUGAAGAAGGCCUUCGGGUUGUAAAGUACUUUCAGCGGGGAGGCGUUACCCGCAGAAGAAGCACCGGCUAACUCCGUGCCAGCAGCCGCGGUAAUUC
rnacentral:rRNA from 1 species